AACCGAGAACUCCUACGGGAGGCAGCAGUGGGGAAUCUUGGACAAUGGGCGAAAGCCUGAUCCAGCCAUACCGCGUGCGGGAAGAAGGCCUUCGGGUUGUAAACCGCUUUUGUCAGGGAAGAAAUGCUUCGGGCUGAUACCCUGGGGUGAUGACGGUACCUGAAGAAUAAGCACCGGCUAACUACGUGCCAGCAGCCGCGGUAAUACGUAGGGUGCAAGCGUUAAUCGGAAUUACUGGGCGUAAAGCGUGCGCAGGCGGUUCUAUAAGACAGAUGUGAAAUCCCCGGGCUCAACCUGGGAACUGCAUUUGUGACUGUAGAGCUAGAGUACGGUAGAGGGGGAUGGAAUUCCGCGUGUAGCAGUGAAAUGCGUAGAUAUGCGGAGGAACACCGAUGGCGAAGGCAAUCCCCUGGACCUGUACUGACGCUCAUGCACGAAAGCGUGGGGAGCAAACAGGAUUAGAUACCCCUGUAGUCCGACUGAGA
rnacentral:rRNA from 1 species